CAAAAGGGCUUCUGUCUUAAGUGGCACACGCAGGGCAUCGCUGCUGCUCUACGUGCGGAAUCGGCAUCAAGAGAUUUCAGAAGCGUAAUUUUUGUUACCUGGGCCCUA
rnacentral:snRNA from 1 species